rfam:Papilio machaon contig68372, whole genome shotgun sequence.
GGUAAGUGGCUCAGGGGUUGAGCACUUGACUUGCAAUCUGAAGGUCCUGGGUUCGAAUCCCGCCAUGUACCA